CCCCAACCUCACCAACACAUAAACUCUAAAAGAGCAAAAUUGAUUCUCAUAGCUUCUAAGGUUUCUGGAUUUUCUCCUGUCAAAUUGAUGUUAAUCAAUGGAUAAAAUUUUCAUAUUCUUUAGCAGAAUAAAUUGGUUGAUCAUAAGCUCUAACAAAAAUUUCAACCAUUGAUAUUCCUCCUACGGUUUUCAAUGAUCCUCAAUUGGAUGCAGGAAGACGCUCAAAGGUAUGGUGUUGUAUUCCUUUUAUAAAAAAACAAAUUGUCGUGCAAAAGUAAAUUUACACUCAUGAUAAAUUGGUUAGACUAAUUUGUUGUCUUGCCUUCA